rnacentral:rRNA from 1 species
AGACCCGAAACCCGGUGAUCUAGCCAUGGGCAGGUUGAAGGUUGGGUAACACUAACUGGAGGACCGAACCGACUAAUGUUGAAAAAUUAGCGGAUGACCUGUGGCUGGGGGUGAAAGGCCAAUCAAACCGGGAGAUAGCUGGUUCUCCCCGAAAGCUAUUUAGGUAGCGCCUCGUGAAUUCAUCUCCGGGGGUAGAGCACUGUUUCGGCUAGGGGGCCAUCCCGGCUUACCAACCCGAUGCAAACUGCGAAUACCGGAGAAUGUUAUCACGGGAGACACACGGCGGGUGCUAACGUCCGUCGUGAAGAGGGAAACAACCCAGACCGCCAGCUAAGGUCCCAAAGUCAUGGUUAAGUGGGAAACGAUGUGGGAAGGCCCAGACAGCCAGGAUGUUGGCUUAGAAGCAGCCAUCAUUUAAAGAAAGCGUAAUAGCUCACUGGUCGAGUCGGCCUGCGCGGAAGAUGUAACGGGGCUAAACCAUGCACCGAAGCUGCGGCAGCGACACUGUGUGUUGUUGGGUAGGGGAGCGUUCUGUAAGCCUGUGAAGGUGUGUCGUGAGGCAUGCUGGAGGUAUCAGAAGUGCGAAUGCUGACAUAAGUAACGAUAAAGCGGGUGAAAA